rnacentral:misc_RNA from 1 species
AUGAAUGGAAAACAAUAUGGCGGGAUGUUUUAGCAAAGCAAAGAGUGGAAAAUGAUUGUGCAAACCCAGACGACAUUAGUUUACUAGAAAUGUCGUGACAGUGAUUUUACCAACAGUGCAAACGUGCCAAACCAUUACCAAGAUGUGUGAUAUCUGUUCAGAAUUGCUCUUUAUGCUGGAAAGCUACGAAGAAAGAUGUCAGGUUGGUGGCUUCCAGAUGAGCAAGAAGGACAUUAUGUCCUUUGUGAAUUUUGUUUGUGUUUGGCCACAAAGACAAUGUAUGUGUUGCUUCAAAAAUUCGAAAAAUUUCGAAAAACUGAACAACAUGGUGCAGUUGAUAUUGAGUGUAGCUAUCCGAGUGAUUCAGACAUUACCUGAAGAUUUCCAGCAAGAACAGCAGCGACAGAAAGACAAAGAAGCUGCUCAGACUGAGGAGAAAAGUUUAGACUCAAAAGAGAAAGAGGAGAAAGAUUCAGAGAAGAAAGAAGGAAAACAGGAGAAAGAAGAGAAAAGUAUGGAUACUGAUGAAGAUGAUGAAUCAGAAGAUCCAGAGAAAUGGAGCAUGGAGGAAAAAGAGAAAUUACUUCAUUCUGUAACGAAAAUCUUUCUGAUGAACUUCCCAUCCUACAUAGCUUACAAACAUGUUGUUCAUCCAUCUCGUGAGGACCAUUCACAGCAAGAAAUUAGUGCUUUGAAUAGUUACUGUGAAAUAUCAGAUCCUGAGGUUCCGCUGUUCCUGCUUCAGAAUGUGUGCUAUUUCUGUGAUAGUAAUGGCAUUGGUGCUCUGCGUCAGUGUUUUGAAAAAGGAACUCCGGACACACUGCCUUUUACAUUUGCUCAUAUACUCAUCACCCUUAUCGCAAAUUUACGCUUAUGGAUGAAUAUUCCGACUGUGAUGCAAUACAUAAUACCCCUGAGGACGGCUGUAAUAAGAUAUAUGUGUAAGCUAUCUGACAAGGACUUGCGGAUGGCAGGAAAUCGUAAUAUGACAGACCUGAUGUGGGCGGCAGUCAAGGAGCCCCUGGAGGCCCACUUCACCUUUGACAAGGAGGGACUUGACCUGGCCUUUAAGUACUUCACCUGCUCCACCCUUACCAUUAGGCUGGCUGGGAUAGCCCAGAUAAAUAAUCAAAUUAACUUGUACAAUGAGAGUUGUAAUAAUGAGACACUACUUGAUGCUGACAGAGUUGGCCAUCAUUUGUCUCAGUGGUUGUUAGAUAACAAGAUUAUAGAACAUAUAUUUGGACCAAAUCUACAUGUAGAGCUCAUAAAACAGAGCCAGUUGAUCUUGAAUUUAUUAGCAAUGGAAGGCAAGAUCACCAGUGAGCACAUUGACUGUGUUUGGGCUUCUAGUCAGUUGAAGCAUUGUAGUAAACAAGUGUAUGACAUCCUGAUCCCACUGAUCAAGAAUCUUGAUGUCCAUCCGGUGCAGCAUCUACUCAGACUUGUGUCCGCACUGGAACCCACCUCACACACAGAAUCUACGUUGUACCUUGCCUCUGCCCUGAUCAAGUGUAUUUGGAACACGUGUGUAGCGUCCCAGACCUCUGUGUCACAGCACCACGCCCACGCACAGGCCCAGUACACUGCUCUACAGCAGGAUGAGGACAUGCACGAAGGUGAAGGGAAAGCUGGCAAGCACGAGAUGAGUAGUAGUGAGAGUAUCCAGAUGUCUGAGGAUGGAGAGAGUGAAAAGUGCUGUAACAAGCCUAAAUUACAAUCCCAGAAAAGAGGAAGUCCCGCUAAAAAGACGCCAAGGAGUAAAGACCAAAUCCAGAAGGUCAAAGACAGUCAGCAUGAAAAACACAUGGACGAUGUGGACUCUGAGGGUCUACAUGGUCACAGUGGUGACAGCGAACUUGAUCACAGUGGUGAGUCAGAUGACCACAGGCAUGUUCAUCGUCAUCCAAUUCGCCAUCCCCGGCGUGAUAGUGAGGCGAGUGACAGUGAGAUUGAUGGCAGCGAGUCUAGUGAGGAUGAGGAACUAGAGGAAGGAGAGGUGGCUGAUAGCAGGCACCGCCAACAAUUGCUCCAGGCCCACCGCCGGGCCGUAGCCAAGUACCACUGCAACCACCACCACGCACACCACCAUGACACGUCAGAGGAAGAAGAGGAAGAGGAGGAGGAAGAUGACUCAGAAUACCUAGAGGACUCUGAAGAUGAGGAACUUCUAAAGGAAGCCAAACUGGUUCACAUGAAGCAUACUUGUCAGGACAGUGAGGGAAGUUCCGAUUUUGAGGAUGAGGCUCGGAUGGUCCAUGAGGGGAAAAUGUCAUACCAAAUGGCCCAGAGGAUUCUCAGGAAACACCACCAACAGCAGCAGAGAAUACUACACCAGGCACACCAGCUGGCCCUCCAGAGUCAACAGAAGGUCAGGAGGCGAGGUGAACGACCCAAGGAUCAAGGGCAGAGGAAGGUGAAGUCAGGUGAAGAUCAACCAGAGGCCAGUGAGGAAGAUAAGGGGGAGGACAAAGAUGCUAGUCAGGAGCUUGUCAAACAGGAGGACCUUGCUAACACCUCCCUGGAGUCCAUUGAGUCCGAUGUGGCCAUGCACGGUGGGAGUCAGGACAGUGGACUGGAGCAGGCUGAGGGAGGCCACUCCCCUGGAGGUCUCACCCCAGGACAAGAGACUGAGAUAUUUGACUGUUCCUCAUUCAUACAGCAAGUGGGAGUACAGCGCCAGAGGCAGAGACACAUACAGGGCCGAGAGUACAUCGAGAACAUCAUGAGUCCUGACGAUGGUGAGGGCAGCUGUCAUAGUUCACACAUCAGCACCAAAUCAGAGAAGAACAUGGCUGACUUUGAGGGCGAGGACUUCAUCAGUGACGAAGAACUGGCUCAGAUCGAUGCCAGCCGCUCCUUCAAUCCUCACCAGAUGCAGCAACACCUGUCCAGUCUGGCCUCCAUGUACCACACACACAUGCCACACGUGAUCCACCACCGCCCCCAGCAAAAAGAGAUGUUCCCUUGCCACCCUUCCGACUUCCCAUUUGAUGAUGUGUGUGGUAAAGGAAACACAUUGCUGUGGGAUCUGGUCCAGGAGGAAACAGCACAUAUGUUACCGGAGGGUCUAGCCAUGGAGGCAGAGAAAGCACUGUGUACCCUGGUAUGCUAUUCUACAGACAGGAAAAUCAAGAUGAAGUUUAUUGAAGCCUCCAUAGAAAAUCUCUCCCAAAACAAAUCUGUUGUGGUAUCUCUUCGGCUCCUGCAAAAAAUAUUCAGUUCCUUUCAACCAUACAGGAGUGGUGCAGAUACACACCAUGUCACCAUGUGGGCUGAAAAGGAGCUGCAUAUGAUGAGUCACUUCUUCAUCAACCUAGUGUACUACACAGAGGCGAUACAGGCAGGCAACACCGCCAUCACAGCAAUGUACUGCCACAAAGAACAGGUGCAAGUGAGACUUGAUUUCUUGACGUGUGUAUUUUCGGCUAUGGGAUCUCCAGAUGGAUUUAGGUUGAACUUGGAGCAAGUAGACACGCUGUGGCGCUGUAUAGCUUUGGACAUAGAGUGCUCUGAUGAGUGUCUCAAGUGGUUCCUCAACCAGGCAAAGAGUAAAGACCACCACGCUAUGGGCCUGGAAACAUUUAAACACAUCUUCUUGGAAAAGAUGCCUCAACUGAAGCCGGAAUCCAUGAGUAUGAUUGGGCUCAACCUGUUCCAACAGUUAUCACACCUGACUAGGAUUGCCAAUGCAUCCCUCGAUAAAUCCCUUACAGAAGAUCAGGUCUGUGGUAUGGACCAGCUGUGGAAUAUGGCCCUUAAGGCCACCAACACGGAUGUCAGUAUUACAGCCAUACAGAUCCUCAACAGUUACUACAUCAACUACGGCAACAGUCAGCUGGAGAAAGAGGAGGAGUUUGUACAGCGCUGUAUGGACAGCCUUGUCCAGGCUCUGUCAGAUCUCAACCAGAAUCCAGAUACCAAUUUACUAGUCAUUCAAAGAGGUUUGGUGCUAUUGAAAAACCACCUGGAAGCGUUCAGGAAACGGUAUGCCUACCAUUUACGUAACUGGCAGAUAGAUGGGAAGGGAAUCCGCAGUCAUCAGCGUUCCAUCCACGACAAACAAUCAUCUAUGAUGAGAGUUAUUCUACAGCCUGCAGGCAUGACUGACAAGACCCAGUUAGAGAUGUCAUCAACAGACCUGGUGGCAGAGCUACGUGCAGAGGUGACACGGUGGUGGGAGGGGCUACACAAACAACAGCUGGCCCGACACCAGGCAGAGGGUGCCCACAGCAGCACCAUGCUCUCGCCGAUACUUGGUGCCAUGCUGGGUGAUGGCCCUAUUCGUAUGAUCACCCUUGGACAAGAUCUUACAGUAGACAUGGACGAGAAAUCACUUGGAGAUAUGCAGUUCAAAGACAUGCAGCUGGUGUUUGUAUCAGUGGGUGCCAGUAGACCUCAGCGUAAGAUGGACGGCAGUAUCCCCUCCUCCUGUCUGCCAGCACCCUCCCACAGCAAGCUUCCAGUGAUGCUGAUGAUACAGGAGCCCCACUUUAGCAAGCUCUUUACACUACUCGAGAGACUUGGCAAGUUGGACUUCACAUCAACAGAGAUGGAGAGUCAGGAGAGAUGGGGCCUACAGACCAAGGCCCGUGUCUUGUCUAGGAAGGUGUGGGAACUCCUCAUGCUACUUCCAACCAACCAGAGUAUGCUGGAGGGCUUCAAUAGUAUUGUCUCUGAGGAGAGUACUGAGAAGGCAGACCACUGGGACACACUGCUAGCCCCCAACGCUCCACACAAACUCAUGUACUCUCUCCAGAUCGUGGAAGCCCUCUCCCGUACACCCCGACAUCGCAGAAAGUUCUCUAUGAGAACAGGUGCUGGAGACUCGAGAGCCAUGAGUGUAGAUUCUGAGAUGGACACCGACAGCAGUGAGGAGAUCUGGAGCCAGAAGUUUAUAACAAAGGGAGGUUUGAAGCAUUUACUGAGCAUUUUUAAGUCUGGAGUUCUACAAGCUAAAGAGGAUGAAGCAUGGAGUCAGUGGAACCAGGAGUGUCUAGCCUACCUGCUCAGACUGAUCAGCCAGUUCUCUGUGGAAUUGUCAGAUGCAGAAGCUGGUCACGAUGAUGUGUUUGAGUCGUAUGAAAGUCCCAGGAAAAAGAUGAAGCGCCACAAAGGCAGUAGUGAGAAGAUCAUUAUACCUAGGCUUAACCAGUCAACAUUGUCCAUGCUGAACAUUGAGUCUAUCCUGAAGAUCCUCAUGCAGAUUCUAUAUGAUGCAGCCUUCCCCAGCGACACCAACCCCGUCAACACAGGGACAUGGGGCAGGGCAGAAGUGGUACACUACUCCUGGUUGUUCCUUGUGUCCUGGGCCUACUCCAGUGAAGAAGUCAAACAUGCCCUGUGUUCAGCUCAGAACUUUGUUUCAUGGCUUCGCAGGCUUACACUAGAUGCACCAGAGCCGUUUGUGAGACGUGAGGCAUGCAUGGGUCUGUACCGCCUGUGUCUGGGUCGUACUGCAGACAGUAAGACUGGCUACACUCUCCUCAUGCCCAUGUUAACUAGUCUCCUCAGCUUCCUCAAUGAGGCCCUUACCAUCAAACCUCAGCGCAACUUUGAUUUGGAUGGGCUGAAGGAGAAGGAACCCCAGGGACCGGGCUGUCGGGAUUACUUCUGGCUGGUGUGUCGAUUUGUUGACAGCAUCUCUAAGGAGGAUGCAAAGUCUGACAAGGAUGAGAUUGUAAACAUCAACAACCUUGCGAAGGACGUGUCAAACCACAUCAUUGAGCGACAAUACCUAGAGACCAGACAGGGGUUUGAGGAGGACGAUGGAGUCAUAGGACUGCUCAACUUAAUGACUGCCAUCAUCAAACACAACCCCACAUACAAACCUUCACCAGAGGGACAGAGUUUCCUGGAGGAGGUGUUCUGGUUGCUGUUUGCACUUCCUUCUCCCAGUAAGAGAUAUCUUCCCAAGUGUAAGAGCCAGACAAGUCGCUCCUCAGCCUACGAUCUCCUGGUGGAGUUUGUCAAAGGCAGUGUUGACAACUUUGGAAUACUUCACAAACUUAUGAUGAAGCAACACACUAAAGAUGCCCAUACACCCUACCCCUGGGACUACUGGCCACACGAAGAUGGGCGGUCUAAGUGUGGAUAUGUAGGGCUGACCAACCUGGGGGCCACAUGUUACAUGGCCACCUGUAUGCAGCACCUGUACAUGUUACCACAGGCACGCCAGUCCGUAUUACAGGCCAAUUGUUCAAAACAUAACAAGUAUGAAGGUACCAUGUCGGAGCUGAAGAAGAUGUUUGCAUAUCUACAGGAGAGUGAAAGAAAAGCAUACAACCCUCGGAGCUUCUGUAAGACCUACACCAUGGACAAACAGCCUCUUAACACAGGGGAACAGAAAGACAUGACCGAGUUCUUCACCGACCUCAUCAGUAAAUUGGAGGAUAUGUCGCCAGAAAUGCACAAGCUAGUGAAGAGCCUGUUUGGGGGUAUUCUGACAAACAACGUGGUGUCUCUGGAUUGUCCCCAUGUGAGUCGGACCCUGGAAGAAUUCUACACAGUCAGAUGUCAGGUCACAGACAUGAAAAACCUCUACGAAUCGCUGGAUGAGGUGACGGUAAAGGAUAUGCUAGAAGGAGACAAUAUGUAUACCUGCUCAAAGUGCCAGAAGAAAGUGCGUGCUGAGAAACGGGCAUGUUUCAAGAGGUUACCGAGGAUCCUGUGCUUCAACACCAUGCGGUAUACGUUUAAUAUGGUAACCAUGAUGAAGGAGAAAGUGAACACCCACUUCUCAUUCCCCUUGUGUUUGGACAUGUCUCAGUACAUGGAGAAAACUCUCAUGGGACCAGACAAACUCAAAGUGGAUGAUGAUGAGGAUGAGCGACUACAGAUGCUGGAGAUGGAGGAUGAUGAAGAUGAAGGCUAUGAUUACGAGCUGACAGGUGUGACUGUUCACACAGGGACAGCUGAUGGGGGCCAUUAUUACAGCUUCAUACGUGACCGAAUGCACACAACUGACAACGGCCAGGAUAAAUGGUACCUGUUCAAUGAUGCAGAGGUGAAGCCAUUUGAUCCAAGUCAGAUUGCUACAGAGUGCUUUGGGGGAGAGAUGACGAGUAAAACUUAUGAUUCAGUGACCGACAAGUUCAUGGAUUUUUCAUUUGAAAAGACAAAUAGUGCUUACAUGCUGUUCUAUGAGAGAUGUCCAGCAAAGAAAGACACUGAGGAGCCGAAUAAGUUGUUAGAGGUUGAACCCGUCCAAAAGUUCAAUUUUGAACUGUCAAAAGAAUUGGCUGAGUGGAUUUGGCAGGACAACAUGCAUUUUCUCCAAGACAAGAACAUAUUUGAACACACCUACUUUGGGUUUAUCUGGCAGAUCUGUGGAUACAUCCCUACAACUCUGUCUAAAGAUCCCCAGCUACAGGUGUCCCUCAGAGCCUCACAGCUUAGCACUUCCUUUGUCCUCGAGACCCUUAUACAUGCCAAGGAAAAGCCGACCAUGCUGCAGUGGAUAGAGCUACUGACCAAACAGUUUAACACAUGUCCUUCAGCGUGUGAGUGGUUCCUCGACCACAUGGCCGAGAGUGACUGGUGGCCGAUACAGAUCCUCAUCAAGUGUCCAAACCAGAUGGUCAGACAGAUGUUCCAGCGACUGUUGAUACAUGUGAUCUCCCAGUUACGGUCAGCUCACAUGGACUUGUACCUACAGCCGUUCAUUGAGGGUGACGACGGUGAGAUAGAUGUAUCAGAGUUGGGCACCAAGUCCUGUGUGACCAGGUUCAUCAAGAAGAUGCUGACAAUUAUUGAGCAUGGUGUGCGUCCCCACAGUAAGUACCUGACUGAGUACUUUGCCUUCCUGUUGGAGUUUGCAAAGAUGGGAGAUGAGGAGUGUUUCUUCCUUAUUAACAGUAAUGCCAUCUCCACUAUGAUUGGUUUCUACAUGGGACAGAAGGCUCAGGAAAACUAUGUGGAGAUCCCAUCAGAUGAUGAGGAGGAUGAGGUGAUUACAAUCACUGAUGAUAACUAUAAGCCAAUGUCACUGGAAAAGAUGAUCACACUGAUAGCUCUACUGGUGGAGAAGUCUCGUAGCGAGGACAACCAGCUUCACAUUUCUGAUAAAGACUAUAACUCUGUUAUUGGAGGAAAGGGAUUCCCAUUCAUGUCCAACCAGAUCAGAGACAAUAUCAAUGUACGGCAGACCUGUAACCUCAUCUUCAGCCUGUGUCGUUGGAACGAGCAGCUAGCUGUAGCGAUUGUUACUAUGGUUUUCAGUGCUAUAAAGAAGCUGAGUAUUGAGCAUUCACAACCCUUCUUCAAAUUGAUGUCAAUGCUUGUGGAGUUUGGGGGAGGACCUCCAGGGCUGCCCCCCUUCACUCAGUAUGUCCUACAGAGAUUCUGGGAGCUGACCAAGAGCUGUCCACAGCCAUGUCUGGAGUGGAUGUCUACUCAAGUGACCAGGAACAAACUAGCCAGCCAUUGGCUGCUGAACCAGAUGGAGAGUUGGGUAGAGCCCUAUCUAAUAGCCAACAACAAUGUUAGAGUCAGAAAUGCCACCGCAUGUCUUCUUGUAUCCCUUGUGCCAAGCAACCACUUCCGCCAAACAUUUGUAGCCACACGUCGCAUCCUUAGUCCCCAGAAAGAAAUCUCAAUAUCAACAGAAGGUAUCGUUGUAUUACAUCAGAUCUUUAACCAUUUGUUAAAUCUCCUACAACGUGCCAAAGUGUAUGCGGACUCCCAGAGUCACGGCACAACUAAACUGCUGAGCUAUUUCACUGUACUGACCUACUGUCUCAUCACUAGGGAGGAAAAACUCAUGUUCUCCAGUUACUUCGGUGACCUAUGGCAGCUGUUCCAACCCCGGCUCUGUGAGCCUCAGAUCUCCAUGCACCACAACAAGCAGGCAUUGCUGUACUUCUGGUAUCAGGUGUGUCAGGACUGCCCUGAGAACAUCAAACUCAUCGUCACCAAUCCCCACGUCUGUAAACAGAUAGCGUACAACUACAUUCUAGCGGACCAUGAAGACCAGGAGGUCGUCAUGUUCAACAGGAUCAUGCUACCGUCGUACUACGGUCUGCUGCGGAUGUGUUGUCAGCAGUCUCGCUCCUUCACUCGAACUCUAGCCCAACACCAGAACAUCCAGUGGGCCUUCAAGAACAUAUCACCCUACCCAGCUCAGUACACUCAGGCUGUUGAAGAGUUGUUCAAGAUCAUGAAGAUGAUGGCCACAAAGUACCAAGACAGUACUGAGGAAGAAAUCCGCUCAGUCAAUCUCUUCAAGCGCAACAUGAUGCAGAUGUUCCUCAACUUUCUGGAUGCACGCUCCAUGUGGCAGACACUCAUUAGUGCAUUGAAGGUUCUGAUAGACACCACAGAUGACAGACUGUUGCUGAUAUAUCAACAGGGCCUCCAGAUGAUCACAGAGGCGUUCAACACACUACAUGUGAUGUACCACGAGGCCACAGCAUGUCAUGUGACUGGAGAUAUUGUUGACCUACUGUCCAUACUUCUGCCAGUCCUCAAGGUUGCCAGACAUUUCCAUGAAAAGAAAGGUUCCACGGCAGCUGAUGUGAAUACAGUGCUACAGAGUUGGAAAGACAGGAUGGAGUUUGUGAAGAAGUUAUUAACACUUCUAAACUCUUAUACACCUCCAGAGAUUCGCCACAUUUCCAUAGAGGUGUUGCGAGAGAUGAUCCUGACAUUCCAGAGCGAGUGUGUCCAUACUGUGGUCCCCAUACUUACCCAGGCACAUGUGGCCUUCCAGGAGAGUAACCUCCCAAUGACAAUGGGUCCAUAUUUUCCUCGGAGGGGGCAGAAACCGAUAGGUCCAAAGUCUAACAUUCGACCACCACGACCCCAGUUCAACAUGAUGUUACACUCCAGCCAGAUAGAAGCCACAAAGGGGGUAGAUGAUAUGUAUGACAACGCCUUGUUGGACUUCUUUUCACCUUAUCAUGCCCUGGUUGAUCUUCUGUGUCGUGUUGCUGUCAAUCAUCAGAGCCUCAAUGAGGCAAUCAUCAAUCUUAGUGCCAUGGUUGCUAUUGAGGGAGUACCUUUACACUCCCCAUACUUUGCCAAGCUGUGGUACGAGAUAUACCACUCGGAGGUGGACAGAAAUUGUAUCAAUAUCCUGUGCAAUAGUAACAUAUUUAUAGAGUAUGUGGAUUCGGUGCUACUGGAUGAGCGGCUCUCGCUCAGCAAUCACAAUAUCUACCAGUUCCUGUGCAAUUUCUUCCCAAAGGUAUUCCAACAGGUGCUAAACGAUCAAGGGAGAUCACUCUUGGACAGUCUGGUGGCAUCUGUGACAGCAGAAAAAGCUGCCGCUGAAAAUAUUAGAUCAGAAAGAGAUUUCCUAAACAUCUGCUAUAGAAUUAAUGGGGAUCUGCGUACUAUGCUCCUGAUAUUCUCAGUACAGCCUCCUAAGCAGCUGAACUCUCUCCUGGUGGAUAGUUUACAGUAUAUCCUCCAGGUGUGUCGCCAGCAUCAGCACCAGCGUGCAGCUGACACAUCACAGCGAUCUGUAACCCGCAAGCGUUCAGGCUCACAGGGUGACAGUGGGGAAGAGGAGGAGGCCACAGAGGAAAUAUCUGGUGAAACAUCUGCGAAGAAACAAAAAUUAUCUUGUGAAACAUCUGAAGAAUUGGUCAAGAAUUCUACUGAAUCUGAGAAAUCCACAUCAUUUACGUCUAAUGAGGAUCAGAGCUCUGGCAAGGUAGACAAUGAAUCAACCCAUGAAAAUGCCAUCUCUGAGGGUGCUAACCAGUCAAAAUCUGAUUCUAGUCAGUCAGAGUCUGCCGAGAAGUCAGAGUCUGCCGAGAUGUCGGAGUCCGAGUCUGCCGAGAAGUCGGAGUCCGAGUCUGCCGAGAAGGAGAAGUCAGAGUCUGCCGAGAAGGAGAAGUCCGAGUCUGCAGAGAAGAAGUCAGAGUCUGCAGAGCAGGAGAAGUCUGAGCCCUGUGCGGACAGCACAAAUAAGGAGGACAGUGACCAGGAUUCUGAUGUGGUGAUUGUGAUCCCGUCGGAGGAGGACAAACCUAUUGUGGACAACAAGUCUGAUGUUGAAAGUAAAUCUGAUACAGACAAUAAGUCUAGCAUAGAAAGCAAACUUGAUGUUGAAAGUAAAUCUGAUACAGACGAUAAGUCUAGCAUAGAAAGCAAACUUGAAACAGAGGAUGUCAUGGUUAAGGAACAAAAGACCGAGGAAAUCGAGAUACAAUCCAAGGAUCAGGAUGAGGCAAUGAAAGAUUGUGAGGAACCAGAGCCAGGUCCUUCUGGUCACUGUCGUAAUGACAGUCAAGAACCCUCAAGUGGCGAGUCACGACAGAGUUCCAGUGAUGAAAUGCCACGAUCACGAGAGCGCCCAACCAUUGUGGACUAUGUAGCCAAGCAUAUAGAGCAUAUCAUUUGCUCUUACGGAAAAGUGGUGAAGUGAAUAUAGGGUCAGUUGUUUAAGUCUUUCUUAUAUUCCUCAUAGCAUUACAGUAUGCUACUUUAAAAUAGGGCUAUGAUUUAUAUUUUCCAUUUUGGGAAGAUGCAUUGUCAAGCCAGUUUUUUCCUCUUGUGUAUGAGCAUUACUGUGUCUGUUCCUAGUGAAUCAGUAGAAUGUUUAAUUAUGAGCUUAGCAUUAUUUGCUGCCAGCAUCUGUUAUUCGAGAUAUGAAUGUGUUUGUUGGCGAGAUCAAAUGAGUAGUUGUAUCAGAUGUGAUACUGCUGUAAGUGUGAAUGUUUUAGUUGGUGUGAAAUGGCUGUCCUCAAAAGUCACUUGACUUGUAAAGCAUUGUUCCACUGCUAAGCUUGUCAGCUGUCUUUGUGAUUCAAGGUUGUGAGUUUACUGCGAGCUGUUAGUAUUUGUCACCAAGCUAUUUGCUGAAUAAUGUAUGGUGUAAAAAAAAAAUAUGCAUUUAUUUUGUGUCUGUUUGUCUGAUGUUAUCAGAUGUGAAUUCAUUCUCAGUGUACCACAUGCUACAACAUUUUCUACUUUCAUUCGGCUUGAGAUUAGUCCUACCGUCAGUAUUAUAAAGUGCACGAUUGAAUUUGCUUUCAUUUAUCAUGUUCCAUACAUUUUGACCUAUGAAUUAGAUAUGUAUAUUCGUGAAAAGUGGACAGGCCUACUGGUAAGCCUUGGAAAAGUCUUCCAAGGCAUAAAUUAAGUUUUACAUUUAAAGAAGAAAAGAGUACUUGUACUUGUUUGAAUUAAGUAUACACUCAUAAAUGUGUAUAUUACGUAAACUGUAUUAAAUAUUAGACAAGUUCUGUAAGUCUGUUCCAUAGAUCCAGCAGAUCAGCUAACAGCACUAUAGUGUCCCCAACUUUUUAGGGAAAGGGUUCUUAGAAGAAAGUCAAAAUUAAUAAGGAUGACUACUGAUUUGGUCAAAUGUGUUUUAGUUCAGACCAUUUGUAUGGUUGUUUCAUCAAAACCAAAAGUCCAUGUGCCUGAAAUUUUCAUCCCGGUCUGGAGCUUACCAAGUGCUCCAUUAGUCCGACUAGAUUUAUGGAAUACAUACUGGAGCUUGUUUUUUGGAUUGGCUAGUAAACUUCACCAGAUGAUAAACAUGUGAUGUUGUUGAUGCUUCUGCCGCAGACACUGUUAUGAUACCUUGUACAACCUUUUGUGAAAUAUGUUAAUUGUUGUUGCUGAAAGAUGCUGCGAAAAAAAUAAUGGAAGAUUUCUGUGUAUAAAAGUAACACUGUGAUGAAUGAAAUGUUACAUGUAAGCAAAAUUUAUGACAUAAAAAUGCAAAAUACUGCUUCAUGUACUGUAAAAGUAGAAUCGUUAUAUUUUCUUAUGAUUGUGCACUGUUCAGAUCUCCUUUGUGAAUUUUUAAAUAAUGCAUGACAUUAUGGUCCAUUAUCAGUGAUGCCUGUGUUCUUCUCAUUUUACCACCAAGUGGUUCAUAUCAGACUAGAGAUUUGUAUGCAUUAAGCGACUUGUGUUCCAGAGAAGAGUUGAUAUAUUAUGACCUACCAUGAGAAAGGGUUUGGUUUGAUAAACUGUUUAUAUGUAUUAAGCCUGGUACUAUAUUUUAUACUAUUUGUGUAUAAAUUAAUCCUGAUAACUUCCAAUGGCUAACUUGACAUCGUAAGGCACUCGCCAUGUGCUUAAGUUUUGAUAUUGUUGGUUUAGUCAGUUCAACUGUCAGAUAACACAAACGUCAGUUCUGAAGCUAGGUCAAACAACUGUCAGAUAACAAAAACGUCAGUUCUGAAGCUAGGUCAAACAACUGUCAGAUAACAUAAACGUCAGUUUUAAAGCUAGGUCAAACAACUGUCAGAUAACAUAAACGUCAGUUCUGAAGCUAGGUCAAAAUAUGUCCUGCAGUUUGCAUACCUAGUAAUGCCAAAACCGACACACUUUUAUCCAACCAGUACCCUUUGACAUGGCUGGUCAGAAGUAUGGUAGCUAAUUGCUAGAUCUAUGUAUGAAGCGUGGAUUUGUCGAGUUAUUCUGACUUCUGGAUACAGCUAUUCAUCAGUAAGGUUGGUGUUGUGAGCGUAGAAGAGUGUGUGGUAUGUAUGGUGAUGUACCAAAGAACAAUGAUCCUUGACCAAACUACAGUCUGUAUAAUACUUUGUUUUUAUUUAUAAUUGUCACUGCAAUCGCUUCCAUACUUACUGUGCUGGUGAUAAUUCAUAUAGAAACAUCUUUUUUGAACAAAGAAUAAAAAAAGUCAUCAGUAUUUUCAAUCUUUGGUUUUGUGUUUACUGCACUGAGUUUUUAAAGAUUUUACCACGAAACACAGUUGUAAGCAGAAUAUUUACCCAUGUACCUAUGUCAUGUGAAUCUAAGGUACCUGGUAAUAAGAAUACGGAAGAGAUCAAAUAUUAUCUGGUAUGAAGAACUUGUUCAACAUUACAGGUGUCCUUGGGCACCAUUUUGAAAGAGAUGAAAUGUCUUUCCACAUACAUCAAGAACAAUGUUCCACCAUUACUUGAUGAGGAAAAAAUUACAAACUGAAACCUUUCAAACUUAGUUCCCAGAAGAUCUUGCAUCAUAAAUAUUGUUUGGUGAAUUUUUUCAUACAAAGUCUAGAAAAUGCUAUUUUUGCUCUUAGGGCUGUCACAAUAAUUUUGAAUAAUGGAAAACAGACUUGUUUCAAUACGCAUUAAUAUUGUAUCACAUGGCAAUAUAAAAAUAAAAUAUUGCUACUAUGGAAAAAAUGUUUUCAAAGUCUGAUGUUCUAACUAUGCAGAUCUACUACAAGUCGGCUGAUAACAAUUUAACAGGCUUUUACCAGCUAGUGGUGGAAAUCGUUUGAAAUUUCACAUUUGAUGAUGGGCUCGAUGAAAAUCUAAAUCUCUGUAUACACAUAAACCUUCUUCAAUAUGAUACAUAAUUUUUAGCUUGCCUGGUCC